GCGGGAAUAGCUCAGUUGGUAGAGCACAACCUUGCCAAGGUUGGGGUCGAGAGUUCGAGUCUCUUUUCCCGCU
rfam:Deinococcus peraridilitoris DSM 19664, complete genome.